CUCUCGCACUGUUCCUUCUGCCUCAAUGAUUUGCACGGAUCAAAGAAGCCUUCGAACCCAGAAUCAAUAUGCAGCAAGCCCGUUGAUUGAAAGAAAAAUAGCAAACAGGGGGAAUAGAAGUUCUCUGUUUUCAAUUGUGUAUCCUGUCUAAUCCGAAAAGGUCUAUUUAUAGACUUCUUCGGGACAGACGCGACCCAAAACCGAUCCAACGGUCAAAACCGGUAAGAAAGUUUGAAAAAACACUGGGAGUAGGGCCAGCGGAUGCGAGGUCGGUUGCGAAGAGGUGCUAACGAGGAAGCGACGUGGCUCCUCGUGCUAUGGCUUAUCGCACCCGUUGUCCGACCUCGGCUCCUCUGGGCUCAUCACACCUGUGGUCCGACCUCGGCCUCGGCUCCUCGUGCUUCGAUUGAGGAGGUGGGUCGGACGAGCACAGGCACAGGCGCAAAGAGCCUCGGACGAGCAGGGCCGAGCGAGCACAGGCUCGGCCGCAAAAAACCUCGGGUCGGACAAGCACAGGACAGCUUGGCCGCAAAGAACCUUGGGUCGGACAAGCACAAGCACAGAGAACCGAGCUUUAUGUAAUAGACAUAAAAAGGAGGGAAUGGGGAAUCGAACCUAUUACCUCAUCCCCACCCAACCAAUGCACCAACCAUCAAGCCAAACUCCCUUCUUAACAUAUAUGUAUAACAUAUAUAUUUUAAGUAUAAAAACUUUUAAUCAUUAUUUAAUAAAAAUCUAACAUUCCCCCACCUGAUUAAAAUGUUUUUUAAAACUUUAUAAAAUCAGAAAAUAGUCAAAUCGGGCUUGUUUAUGUCACGACUUCAAUAAAGGUAGCUUGCGGCUUUGAACCUUUACCUAGCGAAAGUAUAUUUUUAUCUGAAAGGUAUAGUGGUAGCUACAAAGCUUUGAACCAAAUCCUUUGGUUCAGAUUUCUAUAAUACUUCACCCAUGACAAAUGCAAAUACUGGGUUCAUCAUAGGUGGUGCUUUUUCUGGCCUUAUGCACCAAUAUCUCAGUUUCAUGAGUGCUCUAGGGGUUAAACCCUUAUCCCCAUAGACUGCGGCCACACAGUCACACUCACAUAGGUGAGUCCUUCAAGGGUGCUCGCAGCACAGCACCUUGCCAUAGACUCGGACUCAUUCAGAGUUUUAAACUCUUUCGUAUACCUCUGCUGUAUUUAGCACUCACAUCACAGGGAGAGACCAAAUGACAUAAAA
rnacentral:lncRNA from 1 species